AAAGUUUAAUUAUGGCUUUAAAAAGUUAAUUUUAGAAAUCACAUAGUGUUAGUUAUUAUUUUUUUAGACAAUUUUAAUUCUUUCUUAUUGUCAAGGUCUAGUGAUGAGUAUUUUUUUUGAUAUUUAAUUAUGCUAAAGUCUAAAAUUUAUAUAGUGGAUAAUGCACAGUGCCAGCAUCCUCGGUUAUUCUGUAGCUAUAACUUUUUUCAUGUAUUUUAAUAUUGCUUUUUAUACCCUAUUAUAUUUUUAAGUAGAAUAUAGGGCUUAUACUAUUAAGUAAUCUUUAUUAAUCAACUUGUUAUCGGAGACAGGAAUUAGAGACUCAAUUAUCACAUGAUAAUAUUAAAAAUUUAGUGAAAACUAAAAUAAUUUGGCAGUCAAAAUCUCCACACUGGGGAUGGUGUGCCGUAAAAGAUGAUCCGCUUUUAAUUUAACCUUACUUAAUUAGUUGGUGUAUGUCCGGUUUAAUAUGGAUAAUCAAAGUCUAUAAUUUAAUGUAUAAAUAUUAUUUUUUUUUAAGUUAGGUCAACAUGCUGCUUAUAGUAAGGUCCGGUUAUUCCAUACAAUAAUAAUUAAAUUUUGAAAUAUCUAAAUUUAGAACUAGUGAGUAAAAUAAUUAAAAAUGAUUAUUUGAAUUGGUUAACUUUGAUGUACAUACCGCCCGUCAACCUCGACUAAAGUUGAGGUAAGUCGUAACAUGGUAGUCCUACAGGAAUGUGGGGCUAGAUA
rnacentral:ncRNA from 1 species